rnacentral:rRNA from 1 species
AGUGAACGCUGGCGGCAUGCCUUACACCUUCAAGUCGAACUGCAGCACGGGAGCAAUCCUGGUGGCGAGUGGCGAACGGGGGGGGCAAGUAACGCAACGGGCCCAGUCGUGGGGGCUAACGCAGCGGAAGUUACUCAAAUCCCGCCUUCGAUCGAGGGACGAAGGCGGGGGAUCGCAAGAGCUCGCGCGAUUGGAGCGGCCGAUAUCAGAUUAGGUAGUUGGUGGGGUAAAGGCUCACCAAGCCGACGAUCUGUAGCUGGUCUGAGAGGACGACCAGCCACACUGGGACUGAGACACGGCCCAGACUCCUACGGGAGGCAGCAGUGGGGAAUUUUGGACAAUGGGCGAAAGCCUGAUCCAGCCAUGCCGCGUGCAGGAUGAAGGCCUUCGGGUUGUAAACUGCUUUUGUACGGAACGAAAAGGUUUGGCCUAAUAAGCUGAGCUCAUGACGGUACCGUAAGAAUAAGCACCGGCUAACUACGUGCCAGCCGCCGCAGUAA